rfam:Triticum aestivum genome assembly, contig: Triticum_aestivum_CS42_TGACv1_scaffold_374437_5AL
UUGGUACUCCCUCCGUUCCAAAAUUCUUGUCUUAAAUUAGUCUAGAUACGAAUGUAUCUUGUCUUAAAUUUAUCUAAAUACGGAUGUAUUAAAUCACAUUUUAGUAUUAGAUACAUCCGUAUCUAGACUAAUUUAAGACAAGAAUUUUGGAACGGAGGAAGUACUAA